AGUGAACGCUGGCGGCAGGCCUAACACAUGCAAGUCGAGCGGCAGCGCGUCCGACCACCCUCGGGUGGUCGGAUGGCGGCGAGCGGCGGACGGGUGAGGAAUGCAUCGGAAUCUGCCUCGUUGUGGGGGAUAACGUAGGGAAACUUACGCUAAUACCGCAUACGACCUACGGGUGAAAGUGGGGGACCUUCGGGCCUCACGCGAUGAGAUGAGCCGAUGCCGGAUUAGCUAGUUGGCGGGGUAAAGGCCCACCAAGGCGACGAUCCGUAGCUGGUCUGAGAGGAUGAUCAGCCACACUGGAACUGAGUCACGGUCCAGACUCCUACGGGAGGCAGCAGUGGGGAAUAUUGGACAAUGGGGGCAACCCUGAUCCAGCCAUGCCGCGUGUGUGAAGAAGGCC
rnacentral:rRNA from 1 species